UUGGUAUCCGCAUGAUGCGACGACUUCAUGCGAAACGAUGACCCCAUGUUACCGUCUCUACGGUCUUGGUCGGAGGCUCAGCAAGGACUGAGUGUUGAAUUAUCACCACUUGAGAUCUCAGCAAAGGCUGAGAUUUAUCAGAAGAACCACCAAAAGACUGAUCGUAUGGUAGAGAUCGUUCAAACACACCAAAGAGUAUGUUGACGUAUACGAUCAGAGAUGAAGGUUUGUUUCUUGGGGAAUACGUCAGUAACCUUCCUCUUCCGUUGCUGGGAAUCCAAAGAGGCCACAAGAAGUGUGGAUAGUCUCCCUUGUGCCGGAGAAGAAGCUGUCGGGAACGUGUUGGAACUGGAUCACCGUCGAGAUCAAUCAGAUCUGGAAAUCGCCAUCUCUGUCGCUGGAAGCCCUAGCCGCUUUUAAAGUAACGUUAUUAAGAAUUAAUAAUCAUACAAAAUAAUAAUAAAAAUUAAUAUAUCCCCUUUAAUAUAUGACUCAUAGGUAAAAACAGUCUCCUUAACUUUCCUCUAUAUUCUCAUCUGAAAGCUUUUAAAAAAAGUGAAACCGUGUUCGGUGGCCGGUGUCUUCACCAGGCAUUAGUUUCUAGCCGGUUAAUCGGCUUUGGGUGAAGCUUUCUUAAGGAAAAGAUGAUGGUGAGAAUGGAUAAAUCUUAGUUGAUGCAGAAGAGAUUUAGUAGAGAUUGGCGUUCUUUGUGAAUGGUCCAACAAAGGAUUUUCUUUUGCUUGAUUGAGAAGUCCUAGAGCUUUACAACCGGAGGUGAAAGAGUUUCACAUUCUAUCAUCAGCGAAAGACGGAAGAGAUCUCAAGAUGGUUAGACGUUUACAAAGAGGUAUCCAUGGAGCUUCGUCGGUGAGAAGCAAAAACGGAAGAUCGGUACAGAAGAGUCCCGGCGGCAAAGAUAGAGGCGACCAAAACUGUUGCCUCAAUAAUCAGACACGUUUCAUCAACACGUGUCUUCAGCUUCUUCAACAAGCAGCACGUGGAAGGACAGAUAUCAAACACCGAUCUUAAUUUGGGUCUAUUUUAUUUUGUAUUGCUUCUCUAGAGUUUAUGGUUAUUGGAUCCUAUUUGUAAUGUCUUAAGAUCAUAAUUAUGGCGGUUUCUGAA